rnacentral:lncRNA from 1 species
CCCGACGUUUACACGUACAACAUUCUCGUAUCGGGGUUCUGCAAGGCCGGGAACACCGACGCUGCCUGUGGAGUCUUCGACGACAUGAGCUCUAGCCACUGCUCGCCAAACGUUGUCACCUACGGGACUCUCAUCUCCGGCCUCUGCAAGCGCCGCCAGCUGACCAAGGCCUCUUUAUACUUCCAGCACAUGAAGGAGAGAGGCUGCCCUCCGGACAGCUUCGUCUACAGCAGCUUGGUGGACGGGCUCUGCAAGUCGGGGAAGCUCGAAGGUGGCUGCAUGCUCUUUGACGAGAUGGAGAGGAGCGGUGUUGCAAACAGCCAGACGCGGACCAGGCUGAUCUUCCAUCUCUGCAAAGCGAACCGGGUCGACGAGGCCGUGUCGCUUUUCAACGCCAUCAGGAAGGAAGGAAUGCCGCACCCUUACGCCUACAACUCGAUAAUCAGCACGCUCAUCAAGUCGGCAAAGGUGAACCCGUGUACCAGGAGAUGACUCGCUGGUGGAGGCCCGAUCGCGUCACCUACAACGCACUGCUCAAUGGGAUGAUCACAGCAAACAGGAUCGACAGAGCUCAUUUUUAUUACCUGGAGAUGACCGGCAGAGGCUACGUUCCUCCCAUGUCCAUACUGACGACUGACUGAAGGAGCAAGCUUGAUACUCAGUGUUGUUGGCUGUGACGUCGAUCUCCAGAUGUGGUACCAAUGCCUGUGUACAGUACAUAUUGUAUUUGUGAAUUACAAGAACUUCGUGUUAGAAAAUGGUGGUUACUGGCUAGAGACCAGCUAUAUAAACUCCCUUACCUUCUAAAGAUAGUGUGUGUCUGUUGUGAAACCAUUCUCCCUUCUCAGAUAACAGUAUAGCCUCGUAAAUACGAGGACUCCUCUUGAGCAUGCCCAGCUCCGCUUCACUCAAGUUGGACAUUGCCUUGUGGAAAGUGGAUUCAUCCAUGAACCAUAUCCAAGCAGCCACCAGCCCAACUACAAUAUCGUCUAGCUCUGACUUGGCACCAAUAACCUCAGUGACAAUGCCAGACAGGUUGAUAGUGCUUCGCUUGUUCUUGAGUUUACUGAAGUCCACCCUACUCAAAAACUUGUUCAUGAUACCUGACCUCUGAUGUUUCUUACUCAAGACUGUUAUAAACGGACCAGUAACUGAUUCAUAUCCCGAACCUGUUUCGAGCUCGGAAUGGCUUACUUGUCUUUUAGAUAUUGACCACUGCCUAUGAAUGAAAAUCCUGUGAAAGAUAUCUGCAGGAUCAAAAGCAUAGCUCCGGUAAACACUCGGAUUCCUCCACCACUUUAACAAUGUCCAGGCCGCUUGGGCUUUGAUCUCGUCAUCGCUUCCGUCAAUAAUGGAUCUGAUUAGAUACUCGGAUGCUUGCUUGGAAACUGCUUCACGAGGAAGGAAGCCCACUGGUGCUUUUGUGACAAUGUGGUCCAGGAAUUUGAUUACGUCACCGUCCACAACCGCCAAAGGAAUUAUUCCAAAUUCUCGCACAGCUAAUACGAAGUUGUGUAACUGACCUGGUGUUAAUACAACCUUUGCUAGAAUCUUGUUUGCAGUAUGCCUUGGUCCUUCAUGAUAUGGUGAUCCGAGAACAAUGAGCUGAAUCAUGCAUUUGAUACUUCCAAAGGUUCUAGCUUCAUCAGGUAUGUUCCAGCAAAGGAGCUCCAGUAACUCCUCGUGAUCGGAGCUGCGUUCUUGGUGUUCUUCAUCCAAAAACCAAUUGAUGACGUAAGUGAAAAGAUUUACACCUAAUGCUUUACUGAAUCCCUCUCUCAUAAACGCCUCAUGUACACGUGGGGCAACAACAUGCAUUGUAAGUUCACCUUCCCCCGCAAUACAUAUCAGCCACAACACGAAGGAGUCCCAACCCAGUAGUUUGACCGCCAAGAAAACUGAUGACUCCACCAAAGUCAGAAUGUAGAACAGCCUGAUCCCAUACACAAAGUUGGCCACCUGCCCUGCAUCAGACGAUGAGAUGGGUUUGUAGUCUCCUGACUUGAGCCGAGCAACGGAGAAACCAAGUGUUACAGCUGCACUACCCACUUGGAGCCCAUGGAAUAUCAGAUGUAUGGACGCCUGUUUUAUAAAUAUUGGCGGCAGCCUCCUCCGAUAGCAAAUGUUAUAACCUAGGGAAGCGCAGUACAAUGACGAGGUGAAUAUCCCUCCUAAGAUACUUUUGUGGUACCCAGCGGCUACUAAGUAAUCAACAUUCUUGCUGCCUAGGAACACUCGCACACCCUCUGAAAGCAGCAGACCAGAAAUGAGCCUGAAAUCGUAAGACUUCAGCUGAGAGACAUAACCCCCCAGCAGGAUCACUGUGGCACCCACGAACGCUAUUUGCCCUAUGUAUGUUGCACCCUGCUCCAAGGCUGCCAAUACUAGAGCCACAUAUUUCACGUGCACUGACAGACUCACCAAUCUCUGUGCUCUCCUCGUAAGCUUUUGAUGUUCUUCCGUGAUCCCAUCUGAGCCCCCAACUGGUAUUGCUGUAUCAUUCUCCAUUGUAAUUUCGGCUGCUCUACAGCUAUGUCACGGCGAUGUACACCAACGCAAUUACAAGCAGGGAUUUGGGAAGCUGUCGCAGUAUCGUAACAAAUAUAGCACACGAAAGCACGAUUCCCUUGAGUAUGAGACAAUGCAAGCAAAGAACAAUGUAACAGGACAGUGCAUCUUGGAGUUUUGAGGGGUCAAAACAACAAAAUGUUUCGUGGCAGCUUAUUUUACAAGGUUGCUGCUCAGCAAUAGAUCCUUCACUAGUUUGAAAUCUAGGCAAAGGAGAUUCCAGGCUCAAAAGACUAGUUUGAAAUGCAGGCAAAGGAGAUCCAAGGCUCAAAAGACUAGUUUGAAAUGCAAGCAAAGGAUCCAAGGCUCAAAAGACUAGUUUGAAAUGCAAGCAAAGGAGAUUCAAAACUCAGAUCAUCAAGUGUGUAAUGAAAAGAUCAAUUACGUUUACUAAUACCAUAUAGAUACCAACAUAGUCUUCGCAAAGACUGUUUGCUGUGUAGUUUCCAAGCCUUUAAUGGCAUACCAUCUUCUCUGGUUCACUGCUAACGUUUCCAGAGGAGUUUGAAACCAUUGAGAAGCUCUUCGAGUUCUCAAAUAUUUGGAGCAGUAAAGGUACGACAAUUGUGACAAUCUCGCUUGAGAAUGAUUUCGUAAAUCACACCGCUGUAAAUGCCAUCACCUGGGCUGGUUCUCGACACUUCCACCUCGCGCAACUCCAGGUUGUGCUCAGACGCCUCGUUAAAGAAUGCUCGAUCAGUGCUAAAAAAAAGAAAGAAAAGAUUCAAGAAAACACAAAAGAAGAAGCAAAAUAACCUUUGUAUGCGAGAGAUGUAAGCAAGAAAAAACUUGCGGCAGUGGUGGUGUUGCAAAAGCUUGUUGACAGUCCUCAUUAGCGGAGGAAUGUUGCAUUGCUGGUAGCGUGAUAGGAUCUGUUCAAGGAGAAACUUGGAGUCAAAAAGCUUCCAUCAAAAGGAUAUAAAUGUCGGCCCCAAGGAUGUAGUCAAAUCCCUCCGGAUGCUUGUCAAGGAUGAGAGAGAGCUGUUCUUCAUUCCCCCACUCAAGCUUUUCACAGGCAAUCCCUGCAAUGAGGAGAAAAAAAAAACAAACAAACGAGAUCUCUCAUAUAUCAGUGAGAAAGAACUCACGCGAUAGCAACGCCGUGUCCUGCUGAAGCGCCACGUUUUUCCUCAUGAUCUAGCAGCGAUCCCCAAACUUGUUUUAAGAAACCAUGCAUGAAAAUUCCUGCCUUUAAAACGAUGUCAUUGUGAUCAGUCAUGACGACUUUGCGGCAGCCAAUCCUUCCACACAAAAGGCCAGUCACUCCUACAAACCAUGAAAAAAAAAACAAGUGUUAGAAAAAAAAAAAGAGAGAGAGAAAGAAGAGAAAACCAUGCGAAGAACUUCAUACCAACACCAGAGCCCAGCUCAAUGAUCGAAGCUCCUUGAAAAAUUUGGCUAUGAUCCACAAUGUAGUUGAGGAGAAGCUCGGUGCCAGGCCAGAUUAUCUGGCCAGUGAGGUCGUAAUCCGCUGCGAGCUAUCGCAUUGAAAGAGAGGAACCGAAAGAACACACUCACUGGAAGAGCAUUGUAGGCUGAGCACAGGAAUCUCGUGAUGGCCGAUGGAAAUGCGCUGCUCAACGUAGCUAGCAGUGGAUGAUAGAAUCGAUUAAAUCCUAGUAGCUUACUUCUCGUCCAGGAACAGCGAUCCAGUACCUCCUCCAUCGUCGUCCUCGUCCAUCGCAUGAGCCCUAAGAGAAUAAGAAUCUUACUCACAAAAGAUGCCCUAAAGCCCUAGGGGUUAGGGUGUAUGAAUGGCGGCAAGAUUUGGAUGCUCGCGCAUUGCCCGGCUAUCGCGCAUUGCACAGGUACCCAGCCGCGCCAGAUCGAUCGCCACGCAGCCGGUAGCUCAGGAAUCCACCGAGGAUGAGGCGGACGAUCUUGCCGCUUCCUCCAAUGCGGGCGUCUGGAGCUACAGGGAUUUCGCGCAGAUGCUCCACUCUUCCUCCUCCUCUUCCAGGCAUUCGAUCGAGGCGGCGCUGGGCAGGCUACGCCGGGAAAUCUCCACUGACGCCGUGGUGAAGAUCUUCCAGUGCCUCAAGGACGCCGAUCUCGCCUGGGAGCUCUUCCAGUGCCUCUCCUCCCCUCGAUUCGGCUUCCAGCACAGCGUCCACACGGGGAACGCGCUCCUGGAUGUGUUUGCCAGGACCAAGCGCCACAGGGAGGCCGGGAAUCUCCUCAAGAACGAGCUCGCGACGAUAUUUCGGCCGGAUGUGGAGACCUGGAACGUCCUCGUCACCGGCUACUGCCUGGCUCGCGACGAGGAGGCAUUCGCGGUGAUGAAGGAGAUGGAGGAGGAUUACGGCGUGGCGCCGUCGCUCAAGACCCACAAUCUCGUCCUCCACGGCCUGUGCAAGUCGGGCAAGGUCCUCGCAGCAAUGGAUCACUUCGAUCACAGUGAGGAGAUCCAUGCCGGUGAGCGCUGCGACGUUCUCGAUCCUCAUCAAUGGCCUCGUCAAGGCAGGUAUGAUGAUCCAAGCUCACUCCCUCGCCCAGGAGACCACAACCAAUGGCUGCACGAUCGACAUCCACACCUACACCGCCAUUGUGGAUUGGCUCGCCAAGAACAAGAAGAUCCAAGAGGCCGUGGCUCUGAUGCAGAAGAUCACUGCCAAUGGGUGUACUCCCACCAUUGCCACCUACAACGCUCUCCUCAAUGGUCUUUGCAAGAUGGACGGCUCGAAGAAGCCAUCGAUCUCCUUCGCAAGAACGUCGACAAUGGCUGCACGCCGGUCACUUACACCUCGCUCAUCGAUGGCCUCGGCAAGGAGAAGCGAUCCUUCGAAGCUUACAAGCUUUUCAAAGAGAUGGCUUCGCGGGGACUGGCUCUCGACACCGUCUGCUAUACUGCUCUCAUCCGGGGACUCCUCCAGACCGGGAAAAUCCCGCAAGCUUCCUCGGUCUACAAGACGAUGACGUCCCAAGGCUGCGUUCCCGACGUGGUAACUCUCAGCACCAUGAUCGACGGCCUCUCCAAGGCCGGGAGGAUUAAAGCGGCAGUCCGGAUCUUCAAGUCGAUGGAAGGUCGAGGCCUGGCUCCAAACGAGGUGGUGGACAGCGCUCUCAUCCACGGCCUGUGCAAGGCGAGGAAGAGUACGUCCUUUCCCUUCCCCCCUCUUUCUAUUUUGUUAUCGCUCUUAUAAAUUGAUUUCACCAGGGAAGUCAGGACCGUAAAGAAACCCAAGCUCCCUCUGUUGCUGAGCAGUUCACUAAGAAAUUGCUGGUGUCAUUUCCCAGGCUUCUUUGGGAGCUCAAGUGUAAUCAACUUGCGUCUUCAAGGUUUGUGUCAAGGCAUUCGCAUCGUAAUGUUUCUCUUUCUUUUUUGCAGAUUGUCCUAGAGAUGCUACUCCGCCUUGGAAAGUUUGCAGUAGCUGGCUCUACUUUAGCAACAGAUUUUGGAAUGCUUCAAUCGGCAAUGAUACCGUUUUUCUGCACUGUGUUGCCAGCCAAGGAAACGCCAGGUUCCGUUGCGUCUCCUAAAUCUAGCAAAGAAACUGACUUUCCACAUUCCAGACAAGUAUUUGUACGGUCCGUUUAUUAAGCUUCCUAGAGACUGCCAAGAGAUUGCUGUACUACUUCAGCGGCUUCCAACCUUUCUUUCUCAAAGCACUGUUAGCUUGCUGUCUGUGUAAGUGCGCAUUAUGGCUUACAUCUUCUAACCUGGAAAACCUCGACUCGCAGCUCCGAACAUGGAUCUGCAAACUUUGGUCCGCUUGUUGGAAGUGGUGCGAGUGUCCUUUGUUCAAGGUCGGGUUGAAGUUGCAAACUUUUCCAGUUUCCUUCUUACGCUGGUGGUGGAGUGCUCGCACACACACGGUAAAUAUCUCCUUUUUUCUUGUCGGGCAAUUUAUAACUGCUGAUACUCUCUUCAGAAACUGCUGAAGAGAGAAACAAACACUGGAUAAUACUGGGUGUGGUGUCCCGUAGCCUAUUCCAGAUUGGAGAUAUCGACGUAGUUAUGCAUUUGUUGGCCAAGCCAAUGUCCGAACAUCUGGUGCGUAAUUUUUCACACCUGUUGCUGUUUCUAACAGUCAAACACAGUCGGCUCGGCCUUCCCCAAUGUUGUUAGCUAGUUCACUAAAAGUUCUGGCUACUCUGAGCCACGAUGUGGAACAUGUGGAGGUCCCUGAGUUGCUAUUGAGCGUUCUCGUGGCGCAAACCGCGAGCUUUACGGUUUCAAGACUUCUGGUAUACACCUGCGUUUUAUCAUGUGUAUGAUAAUAUGAAUUGCAGGCUAAAGACCAAAUGGUGAUAGUUAUUGUUUGGAAUGCGGUGGACUUAGUUUUCAAGAACAGGAGGUUUGCACAAUCCUUGAUGAAGGAAUUAGCUCUGAAUCUAUCAGGUUCGUUUGUUAUGUUCUUCUCUCUUACGGCUGAGUGUCUAUUGUCUUCAGGUGGCAAAGAUCAAGUUUAUGCUGUGGGAGUUUUGACGAACGAAAUAUGCAAGCAAAAAGCGAUCCAGAAGCACCUCGAGUUUUCAGAUGUUCGUGAGAUAUUUCGAGCAGUAAAGGUACGGCUACUAUGAACAUGUUUCACAUACACGUUGUUUUGUGUCGCAGACAAUUUUGAAGGAGGCACGCAUGGACCAAGCUAAGUCCAAGCAGCUUUUCCACUUAGAGAUCAGCAUCCGAGAUGCGUUUGGAUCGCAAGUCCUAGUUUAAGCUGUGGCAAAGAGCUCGGGUGUUCCGUGGCUUUUGGGAACCCUGUGCUUGAGCUUCAUCUGCCGCAUCCUGGAAAGGUCAGUCGAUUUUCCGGGCUUGGCGAUGGUGGCAUCAGUUUUUUUCUUCACCACUGAUGGUGAAGCUCUUUUCGUUCAAGCCGCCGUCAUCCUCGGCAUCCCAGCGAGGAUCAAGAUUAAACGCCUCGGUGAAAGAAGCCGUCCGAAUUGCCUCUACUUCUUUACUCACCUGGAUCUUCUCCUCGUGCCUGUGUAACAUGCUGAUUGAAGCCGCUGCUCGCGACUGCUUCUCAAGGACAGCGUACGUAUCUUCCAUGCAUACGCUCGCCACGGUUGUGACAGUGAUGCUCUCAAAGCUGUGAUAGGCAGACAGCGGUGCUCGUGGAUCGAACUCGCCAUGGCGUUCCAUCGUAGCAUUCUACUCACUCAAACAGCUCCUCCUCCCGCGGCCAAGAAGAAAACUGAAAGUCUUUCUUGGCAUGUUGGGCGAGGGAGAAGCUGAUUAACGAUAUUGAAUGGAAAGAUAAACAACAACAAUGAUUUAGUCCGUGUCGUGUUAUUUGUUCUGAAACCAUUCUCCCUUGUCAGAUGACAGUAUAGCCUCGUAAAUACAAGUAUUCUUCUUGAGCAUGCCCAGGUCCUCUUUAGUCAAGUUGGAGAUCACCUUCUGGAAAGUGGAUUCAUCCAUGAACCAUAUCCAAGCUGCCACCAGCCCAACUACAAAGUCGAUGAGCUUUGACUCGGCACCAAUAACCUCAGGGACAAUCCCGGACAGGUCGAUAGUGCUCUGCUUGUUCUUGAGUUUGCUGAAGUCCACCCUACUCAAAAACUUGUUCAUGAUAUCUGACCUCGGAACGUUCAUACUGAAGACUGUUCUAAUAGGACCAGCAACUGAUUCAUAUCCAGCGACAGCUUCAAGCUCGCCUCCAUCUAAUGACACCUGUCGCCUCUCAAUGAAAAUCCUGUGAAAGAUAUCUGCAGGAUCAAAAGCAUAGCUCCGGUAAACUCUCGGAUUCCUCCACCACUUUAAGAAUGUCCAGGCCGCUUGGGCUUUGAUCUCGUCGUCGCUUCCGUCAAUAAUGGAUCUAAUUAGAUACUCGGAUGCUUGCUUGGAAACUGCUUCACGAGGAAGGAAGCCCACUGGUGCUUCUGUGACCAGGAAUUUGAUUACGUCACCGUCCACAAAAGGAAUUAUUCCAAAUUCUCGCACAGCUAAUAAGAAGUUACCUGCUAAUACAUCCUCUAAUACGCCUUAGUUUUUUUUUACGUGUUCCGAGAACAAUGCGCUGAAUCAUGCAUUUGAUACUUCCGAAGGUUCUAGCUUGAUCAGGUAUGUUCCAGCAAAGGAGCUCCAGUACCUUCUGGUGAUCGGAGCUGCAUUCUUCUUACACACCAUCCAAAAAAUUAUUGAUGACAUAAGUGAAAAGAUUUACACCUAAUGCUUCUGUCAUAAACGCCUCAUGUACACGUGGGCCAACAUGGAGUGCAAGUAUGAGCUUCCCCUGCAAUACUUCUCAGCCACAACACGAAGGAGUCCAGUUUGACCGCCAAGAAAACUGAUGACUCCACCAAAGUCAGAAUGUAGAACAGCCUGAUCCCAUACACAAAGUUGGCCACCUGCCCUGCAUCCGACGAUGAGAUGGGUUUGUAGUCUCCUGACUUGAGCCGAGCAAGGAGAAACCAAAUGUUACAGCUGCACUACCCACUUGGAGCCCAUGGAAUAUGAGAUGUAUGAACAGGUCCUUUAUAAGCUUUGGCGGCUGCCUCCUCCGAUAGCAAAUGUUAUAACCUAGGGAAGCGCAGUACAAUGACGAGGUCAAUAUCCCUCCUAAGAUACUUUUGUGAAACCCAGCGGCUACUAAGUAAUCAACAUUCUUGCUGACUAGGAACACUCGCACACCCUCUGAAAGCAGCAGACCAGAAAUGAGCCUGAAAUCGUAAGACUUGGUGAGGAGAUCCAUGCCAGUGAGCGUUGCGACGUUCUCCAUCCUCAUCAAUGGCCUCGUCAAGGCAGGUAUGAUGAUCAAAGCUCACUCCCUCGCCCAGGAGACCACGACCAAUGGCUGCACGAUCGACAUCCACACCUAUACCGCCAUUGUGGACUGACUCGCCAAGAACAAGAAGAUCCAAGAGGCCGUGGCUUUGAUGGAGAAGAUCACUGCCAAUGGGUGUACUCCCACCAUCGCCACCUACAACGCUCUCCUCAAUGGUCUUUGCAAGAUGGGACGGCUCAAAGAAGCCAUCGAUCUCCUUCGCAAGAUCGUCGACAAUGGCUGAACGCCGGACGUGGUCACUUACACCUCACUCAUGGAUGGCCUCGGCAAGGAGAAGCGAUCCUUCGAAGCUUACAAGCUUUUCAAAGAGAUGGCUUCGCGGGGACUGGCUCUCGACACCGUCUGCUACACUGCUCUCAUCGGGGGACUCCUCCAGGCCGGGAUAAUCCCGCAAGCUUCCUCGGUCUACAAGACGAUGACGUCCCAAGGCUGCGUUCCCGACGUGGUAACUCUCAGCACCAUGAUCGACGGCCUCUCCAAGGCCGGGAGGAUUGGAGCGGCAGUCCGGAUCUUCAAGUCGAUGGAAGCUCGAGGCCCUUCUUCAAACGAGGUGGUGUACAGCGCUCUCAUCCACGGCCUGUGCAAGGCCAGGAAGAGUGCGUUCUUUCCCUUCCCCCCUCUUUCUAUUUUGUUAUCGCUCUUAUAAAUUGAUUUCACCAGGGAAGUCAGGACCGUAAAGAAACCCAAGCUCCCUCUGUUGCUGAGCAGUUCAGUAAGAAAUGGCUGGUCUCAUUUUCCAGGCUUCUUUGGGAGCUCAAGUGUAAUCAACUUGCAUCUUCAAAGGUUUGUGUCAAGAGGCCAUUCGCAUCGUAAUGUUUCUCUUUCUUUUUUGCAGAUUGUCCUAGAGAUGCUACUCCGCCUUGGAAAGUUUGCAGUAGCAACAGAUUUUGGAAUGCCUCAAUCGGCAAUGAUACCGUUUUUCUGCUCUGUGUUACCAGCCAAGGAAACGCCAGGUUCCGUUGCGUCUCCUAAAUCUAGCAUAGAAACUAACUUUUCACAUUCCAGACAAGUGUUUGUACGGUCCGUUUAUUAAGCUUCCUAGGAACUGCCAAGAGAUUGCAGUCGACGUAUUGUAGCGGCUUCCAACCUUUCUUUCUCAAAGCACUGUUAGCUGGCUGUCUGUGUAAGUGCGCAUUAUGGCUUACAUCUUCUAACCUGGAAAACCUCAACUCGCAGCUCCGGACAUGGAUCUGCAAACUUUGGUCCGCUUGUUAGAAGUGGUUCGAGUAUCCUUUGUUCAAGGGCGGGUUGAAGUUGCAAACUUUUUCAGUUUCCUUCUUACGCUGGUGGUGGAGUGCUCGCAUGCACAGGGUAAAUAUCUCCUUUUUUCUUUUCGGGCAAUUUAUACUCUUUUCAGAAACUGCUGACGAGAGAAACAAACACUGGAUAAUACUGGGUGUGGUGUCCCAUAGCCUAUUCCAGCUUGGAGAUAUCGACGUAGUUAUGCAUUUUUUGGCCAAGCCAAUGUCCGAACAUCUGGUGCGUAAUUUUUCACACCUGUUGCUGUUUCUAACAGUCAAACACAGUCGGCUCGGCCUUCCCCAAUGUUUUUAGCUAGUUCACUAAAAGUUCUGGCUACUCUGAGCAACGAUGUGGAACAUGUGGAGGUCCCUGAGUUGCUAUUGAGCGUUCUCGUGGCGCAAACCGCGAGCUUUACGGUUUCAAGACUUCUGGUAUACACCUGCGUUUUAUCAUGUGUAUGAUAAUAUGAAUUGCAGGCUAAAGACCAAAUGGUGAUAGUCAUUGUUUGCAAUGCGGUGGACUUAGUUUUCAAGAACAAGAGGUUUGCACAAUCCUUGAUGAAGGAAUUAGCUCUGAAUCUAUCAGGCUCGUUUGUUAUGUUCUUCUCUCUUACGGCUGAGUGUCUAUUUUCUUCAGGUGGCAAAGAUCAAGUUUAUGCUGUGGGAGUUUUGACGAACGAAAUAUGCAAGCAAAAAGCGAUCCAGAAGCCCCUCGAGUUUUCAGAUGUUCGUGAGAUAUUUCGAGCAGUAAAGGUACGGCUACUAUGAACUUCAUGUUUCACAUACACGUUGUUUUGUGUCGCAGACAAUUUUGAAGGAGGCACGCAUGGACCAAGCUAAGUCCAAGCAGCUUUUCCACUUAGAGAUCAGCAUCCGAGAUGCGUUUGGAUCGCAAGUCCUAGUUUAAGCUGUGGCAAAGAGCUCGGGUGUUCCGUGGCUUUUGGGAACCCUGUGCUUGAGCUUUAAUAUUAUCUGCUGCAUCCUGGAAAGGUCAGUCGAUUUUCCGGGCUUGGCGAUGGCGGCCUCAGUUGUUUUCUUCUCCGCAGCCGGCUUGGUGGAGAUUAGUUCUGAGACGGCACCCCAGUAAUUUAGUGGUGCCCUCGCAUGGAACUCUUCUCGGGACUCCAACGAUACCUGCAUGAGGAAGAGAGGUCAGUUUAAAACAUAAAAUCUAUCUUCUUGACGACCUUUUCCUUCUCACGAUUUCCUUUUUUACUAGCUUCGACUUCUGCGUUCCGUUUUGCAAAGAGCUCUCGUUUGUGCUCCUCGGCAGUGCAAAGAGUUUUUGCAAGCCUGUCCCUCUUGUCAUUCUCCUUCGCUUCUAAAGCUAGCGCGUUUUUCCUGGCAAGAAACCGUAAGUAAUUUUCUAAAAAGCUUCGUAGCGACUUACCUCGUCCAUUCCUGGAAUUUAAGAUGCGAUGGAUCGAAGGUCGCUGUGGCGGUGCUGGUGCUGAAGAUGUCCUGAGGAUCAUCAACGUCCUUUUUGUUUGUCUCGAGAAGAUCGUGAAGCUCCUGAACGCUACUGAUGGUGAAACUCUUUUCGUUCAAGCCGCCGUCAUCCUCGGCACCCCAGCGAGGAUCAAGAUCAAAUGCCUCGGUGAAAGAAGCCGUCCGAAUUGCCUCUACUUCUUCACUCACCUGGAUCUUCUCCUCGUGCCUGUGCAACACGCUGAUUGAAGGCGCUGCUCGCGACUGCUUCUCAAGGACAGCGUACGUAUCUUCCAUGCAUACGCUCGCCACGGUUGUGACAGUGAUGCUCUCAAAGCUGUGACAGGCAGACGGCGGUGCUCGUGGAUCGAACUCGCCAUGACGUUCCAUCGUAGCGUUUUCUACUCACUCAAACAGCCUCCUCCUGCGGCCAAGAAGAAAACUGAAUGUCUUUCUUGGCAUGUUGGGCGAGAUUAACGAUAUUAAAUGGAAAGAUAAACAACAACAAUGAUUCAGUUCGAGUUUUAAAACCAUUUUCCCUUGUUAGAUGACAGUAUAGCCUCGUAAAUACGAGUAUUCUUCUCGAGCAUGCCCAGGGCCUCUUCAGUCAAGUUGGAGAUCACCCUCUGGAAAGUGGAUUCAUCCAUGAACCAUAUCCAAGCUGCCACCAGCCCAACUACAGUGUCGUCUAGCUCUGACUCGGCACCAAUAACCUCAGGGACAAUCCCGGACAGGUCGAUAGUGCUCCGCUUGUCCUUGAGUUUGCUGAAGUCCACCCUACUCAAAAAGUUGUUCAUGACAUCUGACCUCUCAGGUUCCACCAAGUUAAUGAAGACUGUUCUAAUAGGACCAGCAACGGAUUCAUAUCCAGCGACAGAUUCAAGCUCGCCUCGAUGUAAUGACACCUGUCCCCUCUCAAUGAAAAUCCUGUGAAAGAUAUCUGCAGGAUCAAAAGCAUAGCUCCGGUAAACUCUCGGAUUCCUCCACCACUUUAAGAAUGUCCAGGCCGCUUCGGCUUUGAUCUCGUCGUCGCUUCCGUCAAUAAUGGAUCUGAUUAGAUACUCGGAUGCUUGCUUGGAAACUGCUUCACGAGGAAGGAAGCCCACUGGUGCUUCUGUGACAAUGCGGUCCAGGAAUUUGAUCACGUCAUCGUCCACAACCGCCAAAGGAAUUAUUCCAAAUUCUCGCACAGCUAAUAAGAAGUUGUGUAACUCACCUUCUGUUAGUACAACCUUUGCUAGAAUCUUGUUUGCAGUAUGCCUUGGUUUUUCAUGAUAUGAUGAUCCAAGAACAAUGAGCUGAAUCAUGCAUUUGAUACUUCCAAAGGUUCUAGCUUCAUGAGGUAUGUACCAGCAAAGGAGCUCCAGUAACUCCUCGUGAUGGGAGAUGCGUUCUUGGUGUUCUUCAUCCCAUUUUUGGUGUUCUUCAUCCAAAAACCAAUUGAUGACGUAAGUGAAAAGAUUUACACCUAAUGCUUUACCGAAUCCCUCUCUCACAAACGCCUCAUGUACACGUGGGCCUACAUUGACUGCAAGCCCUUCAGCUUCCCCUCGAAUACAGGACAGCCACAACAAGAGGAAGUCCCAACCCAGUAGUUUGACCGCCAAGAAAACUGAUGACUCCACCAAAGUCAGAAUGUAGAAGAGCCUGAUCCCAUACACAAAGUUGGCCACCUGCCCUGCAUCCGACGAUGAGAUGGGUUUGUAGUCUCCUGACGUGAACCGAGCAAGGGAGAAACCAAAUGUUACAGCUGCACUACCCACUUGGAGCCCAUGGAAUAUGAGAUGUAUGAACAGGUCCUUUAUAUACUUUGUCAGCUCCGUCCUCAGACAGCAAAUGUCAGAACCUACGAAAGUGCAGCACGCUGCCCAGGUGAAUAUCCCUCCAAAGGUACUAUUGUGGAACCCAGCGGCUACUGAAUAAUCAACAUUCUUGCUGACUAGGAACACUCGCACACCCUCUGAAAGCAGCAGACCAGAAAUGAGCUUGAAAUCGUAGGGCUUGAGCUGAGAGACAUAACCCCCCAGCAAGACCACAGUGGCGCCCACGAACGCUAUUUGCCCUAUGUAUGUUGCACCCUUCUCCAGGGCUGACAAUACUAGAGCCACAUAUUUCACUUGCACUGACAGACUCACCAAUCUCUGUGCUCUCCUCAUAAGAUUUUGAUGUUCUUCCGUGUUCCCAUCUGAGCCCCCAACUUGUAUUGCUGUAUCAUUCUCCAUUGUAAUUUCGGCUGCUCUACAGCUAUGUCACGGUGAUGUACACCAACGCAAUUAGAAGCAGGGAUUUGGGAAGCUGUCGCAGUAUUGUAACAAAUAUAGCACAUGAAAGCACGAUUCCGUUGAGUAUGAGAUAAUGCAAGCAAAGCACAAUGUAACAGGACAGUGCAUCUUGGAGUUUUUGUCGAGAUGUCAGUCUCGAUCAGCCGACGUGGCAUGUCCACGUGGGCAUGAGUCAUGUCCCUCAUGAGUGUUAUGUCCAUCCCUAUUAACAUCACAACAUGGUAUCGGAUUUCGACGAUCCUGGUUGGUUGAUUUGACGUUGCUGUCAUGACCGCUUCAACCCCACCACCACCUCCGCCGCCCCCACCACCACCGCCGCUGCCGCCGCCACCGGUCGUCUCUCACGAUCUUCUAAAUCGAUAUUUUACAUAGUAACCCUGCCCUAUUAUAUUGGCGGCGAUCUGUGGAGAAAUUCAGUGGCACGAAUUUCUUCACAUGGGCGACUGAUCCUCUCUGCGAAACGAGCGUGGAACAUCGUUGAUGGGACUUCGCACGAUCUUCGUGGCCCAAGCCGCAAAUUCUUCCAUGUUGCUGAAUCAACAAUUCUUGGCGCUUCACAUGGAAACGGGUGAAACCAUUGCUGUGUACGUGGGACGGAUUCGAGGGCUAAUGGCUGAAUUGACUGGUGCUGGGUCUCCUGUCACGGACGAUCGCGCCAGGGCGUUGCUGCUUGCAACCGUCACGCCUGCGUUUAGCACGCUCGCAUCUGUACAUGGCCAUGAACUUUGAUCAAGUCGUGGGUGCCCUAAUUGAAUAGGAACGCAAGAUGAAGGUCAGCCAAAUCUUCCUUGCUUUAUGCUGGCGCUGCGGGAGGAUCAUCCUCGUCCUCUCAAGCUCAGCCGAACGACACUGGUUUUCGUGGCAUUUGUCACUAUUGCCACAAAUCUGGACACUUGGCGAGGGAUUGCAAGAAGAAGAAAGCUGAUCGUGCUAAAGCUGCCAAGAACAAAGACAAAGGAAACAAAGACAAGGGCUCUGGGACACCUCGUAAGCACUUGAUGCCUCGCUCUGCAAGCAGCAGCCACCAGCCCGUGCUCGGACCAGAGCUGUGGCUGGAUUCUGGAGCGUCAUUCCAUAUGACGCCCAUGGCUUCCUUGUUUUUUUGACUACCGAGAACCAUGUGAGAGUGACGCUGUGGGACUCGGUGACUCCUCUGCUCACGACGUACUAGGCAAAGGAACAAUCAGGGUUCAGCUCUCUUCUGGAGAAAUCCGGGAGAUCUAUCCUGUGUCUUAUGUUCCAGGACUUACACACACGCUGCUGUCGAUUGGAACUGCUGCUCAAGUAGUCUUCGAUACUCUGUUCACAGCACAGGGAGCGUUCGUGCUGGAUGCCGAGACUGGAGACAAGGUCGCUUUUGGAGUUCCAGUUGAUACGCUCUACCGCCUGGAUGCUCACGUGAUCCUUCCACCCAUGGUUGGUCCCGACCGUUCCGAACGCCGACCGGCCGACCGGCCGACCGUGGUUAUCGACCGGCUGUGAAAAUGCCGAACGGCCGAACGGUUCACAAAAUUUUUUUGAUAAAAAAAAAAACAUUUUAAGUAAAACCAUAUUAAUAAAAGUAGAAAAACCAAAGCAUUAAACCAAACCAAACCAAACCAAACCAUGGUAUAGCAUUCAAGAAAAUGAACUUUGAUAUCGCAUCAUCUAAGUUCAUGUUUCUUGCAUCAUCAAGCAUUUCCCCAAUAUUGCCAUCUCGCAUUCACUUUCGACCAAUAGAUGAUCCUUCAUAGCCUAUAGAAGCACUCAUAGGCUGAGAUUGACUAGCACUUUGUGUACCAGCUCCAGAAGCAGAUGCCCCAUCAAAAUGUCUAUUCUGUAGAUUUGCUGUAGAAGGUAAAGACGAAAGGGCAUUUGCAAUUUGCUCCACAAACAUUCGGCGAGCUUGGUUCUGAACAUGAAGAGGAACAUUUGAAGCACUACAUACUUCAAUAUCACGCCCAGAAACUUUAGCAAGAUGCGCCUUGAUUCGUUUCGGCGGACCGCCAUACAUUUUACCACAAUAAUUACAUUUCCAACGCCCAGCUCUUUUGCCGGAAGCAUAAGGAGUGAGCUUGGUAACAUGGGACCAUGCCCAAUCGGGCGCCAUCACUCAAUUGUGCCAGAAUUGCUACGAAUCUCUAGAAUCAAAUCUCUGAAAUCACUGGAAUUUCCAUUUUAGGGCAAAAAUUUCAAGCGUUGCGGACUGCGCGAUUUGAUUUGCGAGGCAGCGAGCUGCUCUGCUCCACACUCAAUCGAAAGCAGAGGCAGUGGUGAUGGCAAUCAAAAGCAGAGGCAGUGGUGAUGGCAAUCAAAAGCAGAGGCAGUGGUGGUGAUGGCGAUAGCCGCUGGAGCAUCAGAAAUCUAGCGCGAUCACAAUUUUUUUUUUUCACAUUUUUUUUUUUGCCGAACAGAAUACCGAACGGAGCUGUCCGACCGCGUUCGGCCGACCGCGUUCGGCGGCGGUCGGAAUGAUGGCCAAACGCAUUCGGGACCAACCAUGCUUCCACCUGUGGCGCUGAUGGCUCGGGCUCCACCGACACUUGCAACCUGGCACCAGCGCCGUGGUCACGUGAACGAGCAACAGCUAAAAAAGGUGGAUGUUCCUGUGGCGCCUGGGAGCGCGCUGCCCUUUUGCGAAGCUUGUGUUGGUGGAAAACACCACGUUUUUCCUUUUCCACAGGUUUCUCAUUCUCGAGCAAGUUCUGUUCUUGAGUUGGUACACUCGGACGUUUGUUCGAUUGUGGUUGAAUCUUUGGGAGGCAAACGUUACGUAGUCACCUUCCUGGAUGAUUACACGCGGUACCUGAUCGUGUACCUGCUGGCUCACAAGUGAGAGGUGUUCUCCUGCUUUUGCCAAUACAAGGCUUUGGUAGAAAAUCUACACAGCUGUUUAGUUCAUGUGCUCCGCUGUGAUCGUGGAGGAGAAUUCAUCUCUGGAGAAUUCGAGACGUUUUGUGCUGAAGCUGGGGUCCAGCGCCAGUUUGCUGUCCCUGAUGCUGCCCAGAAUGGUGCUGCCGAGAGGGUGAAUCGCACCAUCAUAGAAGCUGCGCUUCAUGUGGGAAUGCCGGCUGCUUUCUGGGGUGAGGCAGUUAACACGGCUGUUUAUGUUCGAAACCGGUUGCCAACACGUGCCCUGCCUGGGAAGACCACUCCUUAUGAACUUUGACUGGUCACGCAGCUGGUUACGAUCAUCUCCGCAUUUUUUGCUGUUUUGCCUACGCACACGUUCCACACAAGCAACGCUGAAAGCUGGAGUCAAAGGCUGAGCCAUCCAUUUUCCUGGGAUAUUUGGAAGGCAUGAAAGGAUAUCGCCUUUAUUCUCUCAAGCGCAAAACUUUGCUGGAAAGAUGGGAUGUGCUCUUUGAUGAGAGCAAGCUGUACAAGGAUCUCUGCUGGUGGUAACGUGGUGGUUCCUCCAGCACUGCCACCACGCCCUCCAGCUACGCCUCUGCAAGAAUCUCCUCCAGUGAGAACACCUAGCUUCUCUGAAGAGCUGAUGAACACUUACUUCGAGGGCGACGAGGAAUUUCAAGCUGCUCCUGAGUUCUUCCUCGGUUCAUCUUCAGUGGGAGCUGGACGUGGAUCAUCACCUUCAGUGGGAGCUGGAAGCAGGUCGCCAACUUCAGUGGGAGCUCUCCCAGACUCUCCACUUGUUCCACCACCUGUGGUCCACCCUCCAGCACGUCCUGAACCUCGACGCUCUGCUCGAGUUCCCGUACCAUUGCGGCUGCAACUGGAAGCUGAGCAAUCUCGUCCCUUCUUUAGUUUUGGAAAAAUUAAAAAGAAAGGAACGCACCAGGCUAACUUCGUGGCUGCUAAUCCAGGGCGAAUCCCCAUUCCAGCGAAUGUUGACGAGGCAUUAGCUGUACCUCAUGCUGCCCAGUGGCGAGAAGCCAUGAAUGCUGAAAUGCAUUCGCAUGAGCGAAACAAUACAAUGACAAAGACAACCUUACCUGAAGGUGCUCACCUUGAGAGCUCGAAAUGGAUUUACACAGUCAGAUGGAACUGUAGCAAAGUUCAAGGCCAGGUUUGUCGCACGGGGAUUCAGCCAGAUUCCAGGUUUGGAAUACAUGGAGACGUACUCACCAGUUGUGAAGUUGACCUCUGUGCGAGUGAUCCUUGCACUGGCUGCCAAGUACGACCUGGAACUGCACCAGUUGGACGUUCGCACUGCUUUCCUGCACGGCAAGUUGAACGAGGAGGUCUACGUCACGCAACCACCUGGAUUCGUCAAACCUGGUGAGGAACAUCUUGUUUGCAAGCUGAAUCGCGCCCUGUAUGGGCUUAAACAAUCCCCGAGGGUUUGGUUUGAACGCAUUGAUGCGUUCUUCAAGAGCCUGGGGUGUGUUCCUCUUGCAGUGGAAGGAAACGUGUACCUGUACAAGAGUGGUGACGAUUUUCUCCUGGUUGCUGUGUACGUUGACGACUGCAUUCUCGGUGCAAAAACCCGCCACCUGCUGGACGAGAUGAAAAAGAAGCUGAGUGAAGAAUUUGAGAUGUCUGACCUGGGCGAGCUUCGCCAUUUCCUUGGCAUCCAAAUUAUACGCAAUCGAGGAGCACGCACCUUGAGCUUGACACAAGCUCACUAUGCAAGGGAGAUCUUGGAACGCUUCCAUAUGCUGGAAUGCUCUUCCCUGGCCACACCUCUUGAGGUCAAUCACAAACUCAGCCGUGACAUGGCCCCUGUCACAGAGGAAGAACGAGAGUACAUGGCCACGGUGCCAUAUCGUCAAGCAGUGGGAAGUCUUGUUUAUUUGAUGCUGGGAACGCGACCAGAUCUCGCCUAUGCUCUUGGGAUGGUCUCCCAGUUCCUCGAGAACCCCGGACCUGCGCAUUGGCAAGCUUUCCGCUACGUUCGAGGUACCUUGCAUUUGCAGCUUCACUAUGGCGCUGCUGUGUCACAGGAACUUCAUGGGUACUCUGGAUGCGGACUGGGCGGGCGACCAGGACUCAAGGCGCUCUACCUCCGGGUAUGCGUUCUUGCUCCAUGGGGCUGCUGUGUCCUGGAGCAGUAAGCGCCAGCCGCUGGUGGCUCUGUCCUCGACAGAGGCAGAGUACAUUGCCCUAACCGCUGCCACCCAGUUCUGCCGUGACCUGCCCCAGAUUCCUGCUUGCACCGGCCCUAUGGUGCUGUUCUCGGACAACCAACGUGCUCUUGCACUGGCCGCCAAUCCUCGCUUCCAUUCUCGGACGAAACACAUCGAGAUUCGUUUCCACUACGUGCGGGAACAAGUCCAAAAUGGAAAGUUGUUGCUGGAAUAUUGCCCCACCGAGGCAAUGGUGGCUGAUAUACGUAGUCCAUCCUCUCAGCUGAUCGAGCCAGAGUGGGAGUGUCGAGAUGUCAGUCUCGAUCAGCUGACGUGGCACGUCCACGUGGCCCUUGAGUCGGGAGUGUUGUGUCCAUCCCUUUUAACAUCACAACAGUUUUGAGGGGUAAAAACAACAAAAUGUUUCAUGGCAGCUUAUUUUACAAGGUUGUUGCUCAGCAAUAGAUCCUUCACUAGUUUGAAAUUUAGGCAAAGGAGAUUCAAGGCUCAAAAGACUAGUUUUAAAUGCAGGCAAAGGAGAUUCAAAACUCAGAUCAUCAACUAAUACCAUAUAGAUACCAACAUAGUCUCCGCAAAGACUGUUUGCUGUGUAGUUUCCAAGCCUUUAUGGCAUACCAUCUUCUCUGGUUCACUGCUAACGUUUCCAGAGGAGUUUGAAACCAUUGAGAAGCUCUUCGAGUUCUCAAAUAUUUGGAGCACUAAAGGUACGACAAUUGUGACAAUCUCGCUUGAGAAUGAUUUCGUAAAUCACACCGCUGUAAAUGCCAUCACCUGGGCUGGUUCUCGACACUUCCACCUCGCGCAACUCCAGGUUGUGCUCAGACGCCUCGUUAAAGAAUGCUCGAUCAGUGCUGAAAAAAGAAACAAAAGAUUCAAGAAAACACAAAAAAAGAAGCAAAACAACCUUUGUAUGCGAGAGACGUAAGCAAGAAAAAACUUGCGGCAGUGGUGGUGUUGCAAAAGCUUGUUGACAGUCCUGAUUAGCGGAGGAAUGUUGCAUUGCUGGUAGCGUGAUAGGAUUUGUUCAAGGAGAAACUUGGAGUAAAAAAGCUUCCAUCAAAAGGAUAUAAAUGUCGGCUCCAAGGAUGUAGUCAAAUCCCUCCGGAUGCUUGUCAAGGAUGAGAGAGAGCUGUUCUUCAUUCCCCCACUCAAGCUUUUCACAGGCAAUCCCUGCAAUGAGGGAAAAAAAAAAAAAACAAACAAACAAACAAACGAGAUCUCUCAUAUAUCAGUGAGAAAGAACUCGAGAGAAACUCACGCGAUAGCAACGCCGUGUCCUGCUGAAGCGCCACGUUUUUCCUCAUGAUCUAGCAGCGAUCCCCAAACUUGUUUUAAGAAACCAUGCAUGGAAAUUCCUGCCUUUAAAACGGUGUCAUUGUGAUCAGUCAUGACGACUUUGCGGCAGCCAAUCCUUCCACACAAAAGGCCAGUCACUCCUACAAACCAUGAAAAAAAUCAAGUGUUAGAAAAAAGAAAAAGAGAAAGAAGAGAAAACCAUGCCAAGAACAUCAUACCAACACCAGAGCCCAGCUCAAUGAUCGAAGCUCCUUGAAAAAUUUGGCUAUGAUCCACAAUGUAAUUGAGGAGAAGCUCGGUGCCAGGCCAGAUUAUCUGGCCAGUGAGGUCGUAAUCCGCUGCGAGCUAUCGCAUUGAAAGAGAGGAACCGAGAGAGAAAGAACACACUCACUGGAAGAGCAUUGUAGGCUGAGCACAGGAAUGUCGUGAUGGCCGAUGGAAAUGCGCUGCUCAACGUAGCUAGCAGUGGAUGAUAGAAUCGAUUAAAUCCUAGUAGCUUACUUCUCGUCCAGGAACAGCGAUCCAAUACCUCCUCCAUCGUCGUCCUCGUCCAUCGCAUGAGCCCUAAGAGAAUAAGAAUCUUACUCACAAAGAUGCGCUAAAGCCCUAGGGGUUAGGGUUUAUGAAUGGCGGCAAGAUUUGGAUGCUCGCGCGGCUAUCGCGCAUUGCACAGGUACCCAGCCGCGCCAGAUCGAUCGCCAUGCAGCCGGUAGCUCAGGAAUCCACCGAGGAUGAGGCGGACGAUCUUGCCGCUUGCUCCAAUGCGGGCGUCUGGAGCUACAGGGAUUUCGCGCAGAUGCUCCACUCUUCCUCCUCUUCCAGUCAUUCGAUCGAGGCGGCGCUGGGCAGGCUACGCCGGGAAAUCUCCACUGACGCCGUGGUGACGAUCUUCCAGUGCCUCAAGGACGCCGAUCUCGCCUGGGAGCUCUUCCAGUGCCUCUCCUCCCCUCGAUUCGGCUUCCAGCACAGCGUCCACACGGGGAACGCGCUCCUGGAUGUGUUUGCCAGGACCAAGCGCCACAGGGAGGCCGGGAAUCUCCUCAAGAACGAGCUCGCGACGAUAUUUCGGCCGGAUGUGGAGACCUGGAACGUCCUCAUCACCGGCUACUGCCUGGCUCGCGAGCCCGAGGAGGCAUUCGCGGUUAUUAGGGAGAUGGAGGAGGAUUACGGCGUGGCGCCGUCGCUCAAGACCCACAAUCUCGUCCUCCACGGCCUGUGCAAGUCGGGCAAGGUCCUCGCGGCGAUGGAUCACUUCGAGACGGUGAGGAGAUCCAUGCCGGUGAGCGCUGCGACGUUCUCGAUCCUCAUCAAUGGCCUCGUCAAGGCAGGUAUGAUGAUCCAAGCUCACUCCCUCGCCGAGGAGACCACAACCAACGGCUGCACGAUCGACAUCCACACCUACACCGCCAUUGUGGACUGGCUGGCCAAGAACAAGAAGAUCGAAGAGGCCGUGGCUCUGAUGGAGAAGAUCACUGCCAAUGGGUGUACUCCCACCAUCGCCACCUACAACGCUCUCCUCAAUGGUCUUUGCAAGAUGGGACGCCUCGAAGAAGCCAUUGAUCUCCUUCGCAAGAUCGUGGUCACUUACACCUCGCUCAUUGAUGGCCUCGGCAAGGAGAAGCGAUCCUUCGAAGCUUACAAGCUUUUCAAGGAGAUGGCUUCGCGGGGACUGGCUCUCGAUAGCGUCUGCUACACUGCUUUCAUCCGGGGACUCCUCCAGGCCGGGAAAAUCCCGCAAGCUUCCUCGGUCUACAAGACGAUGAUGUCCCAAGGCUGCGUUCCCGACGUGGUAACUCUCAGCACCAUGAUCGACGGCCUCUCCAAGGCCGGGAGGAUUGGAGCGGCAGUCCGGUUCUUCAAAUCGAUGGAAGCUCGAGGCCUGGCUCCAAACGAGGUGGUGUACAGCGCUCUCAUCCACGGCCUGUGCAAGGCCAGGAAGAGUACGUUCUUUCCCUUCCCCGCUCUUUCUAUUUUAUAAAUUGAUUUCGCCAGGAAAGUCAGGACCGUAGAGAAACCCAAGCUCCCUCUGUUUCUGAGCAGUUCAGUAAGAAAUGGCUGGUCUCAUUUCCCAGGCUUCUUUGGGAGCUCAAGUGUAAUCAACUUGCGUCUUCAAAGGUUUGUGUCAAGAGGCCAUUGCCAUUUAAUCGCAUUCGCAUCGUAAUGUUUCUCUUUCUUUUUCGCAGAUUGUCCUAGAGAUGCUACUCCGCCUUGGAAAGUUUGCAGUAGCUUUAGCAACAGAUUUUGGAAUGCUUCAAUCGGCAAUGAUACCGUUUUUCUGCACUGUGUUGCCAGCCAAGGAAACGCCAGGUUCCGUUGCGUCUCCUAAAUCUAGCAAAGAAACUGACUUUCCACAUUCCAGACAAGUAUUUGUACGGUCCGUUUAUUAAGCUUCCUAGAGACUGCCAAGAGAUUGCUGUACUACUUCAGCGGCUUCCAACCUUUCUUUCUCAAAGCACUGUUAGCUUGCUGUCUGUGUAAGUGCGCAUUAUGGCUUACAUCUUCUAACCUGGAAAACCUCGACUCGCAGCUCCGAACAUGGAUCUGCAAACUUUGGUCCGCUUGUUGGAAGUGGUGCGAGUGUCCUUUGUUCAAGGUCGGGUUGAAGUUGCAAACUUUUCCAGUUUCCUUUUUACGCUGGUGGUGGAGUGCUCGCAUGCACACGGUAAAUAUCUCCUUUUUUCUUGUCGGGCAAUUUAUAACUGCUGAUACUCUUUUCAGAAACUGCUGAAGAGAGAAAGAAACACUGGAUAAUACUGGGUGUGGUGUCCCGUAGCCUAUUCCAGAUUGGAGAUAUCGACGUAGUUAUGCAUUUGUUGGCCAAGCCAAUGUCCGAACAUCUGGUGCGUAAGUUUUCACACCUUUUGCUGUUUCUAACAGUCAAUUACAGUCGGCUCGGCCUUCCCCAAUGUUGUUAGCUAGUUUACUAAAAAUUGUGGCUACUCUGAGCCACGAUGUGGAACAUGUGGAGGUCCCUGAGUUGCUAUUGAGCGUUCUGGUGGCGCAAACCGCGAGCUUUGCGGUCUCAAGACUUCUGGUAUACACCCGCGUUUUAUCAUGUGUAUGAUAAUCUGAAUUGCAGGCUAAAGACCAAAUGGUGAUGGUUAUUGUUCGCAAUGCGGUGGACUUAGUUUUCAAGAACAAGAGGUUUGCACAAUCCUUGAUGAAGGAAUUAGCUCUGAAUCUAUCAGGUUCGUUUGUUAUGUUCUUCUCUCUUACGUCUGAGUGUCUAUUGUCUUCAGGUGGCAAAGAUCAAGUUUAUGCUGUGGGAAUUUUGACGAACGAAAUAUGCAAGCAAAACGCGAUCCAGAAGCACCUCGAGUUUUCAGAUGUUGGUGAGAUAUUUCGAGCAGUAAAGGUACGACUAGUAUGAGAACUUCAUGUUUCACAUACACGUUGUUUUGUGUCACAGACAAUUUUGAAGGAGGCACGCAUGGACCAAGCUAAGUCCAAGCAGCUUUUCUACUUAGAGAUCAGCAUCCGACAUGCGUUUGGAUCGCAAGUCCUAGUUUAAGCUGUGGCAAAGAGCUCGGGCAUUCCGUGGCUUUUGGGAAUCCUGUGCUUGAGCUUUAAUAUUAUCUGCCGCAUCCUGGAAAGGUCAGUCGAUUUUCCGGGCUCGGCGAUGGCGGCAUCAGUUUUUUUCUUCUCCGCAGCCGGCUUGGUGGAGAUUAGUUCUGAGACGGCACCCCAGUAAUUUAGUGGUGCCCUCGCAUGGAACUCUUCUCGGGACUCCAACGAUACCUGCAUGAGGAAGAGAGGUCAGUUUAAAACAUAAAAUCUAUCUUCUUGACGACCUUUUCCUUCUCACGAUUUGCUUUUUUACUAGCUUCGACUUCGCGUUCCGUUUUGCAAAGAGCUCUCGUUUGUGCUCCUCGGCAGCGCAAAGAGUUUUUGCAAGCCUGUCCCUCUCGUCAUUCUCCUUCGCUUCUAAAGCUAGCGCGUUUUUCCUGGCAAGAAACCGUAAGUGAUUUUCUAAAAAGCUUCGUAGCGACUUACCUCUUCCAUUCCAGGAAUUUAAGAUGUGAUGGAUCGAAGGUAGCUGUGGCGGUGCUGGUGCUGAAGAUGUCCUGAGGAUCAUCAACGUCGUUUUUGUUUCUCUCGAGAAGAUCGUGAAGCUCCUGAACGCCACUGGUGGUGAAGCUCUUUUCGUUCAAGCCGCCGUCAUCCUCGGCAUCCCAGCGAGGAUCAAGAUCAAACGCCUCGGUGAAAGAAGCCGUCCGAAUUGCCUCUACUUCUUCACUCACCUGGAUCUUCUCCUCGUGCCUGUGCAACAUGCUGAUUGAAGGCGCUGCUCGCGACUGCUUCUCAAGGACAUCGUACGUAUCUUCCAUGCAUACGCUCGCCACGGUUGUGACAGUGAUGCUCUCAAAGCUGUGACAGACAGACGGCGGUGCUCGUGGAUCGAACUCGCCAUGGCGUUCCAUCGUAGCGUUUUCUACUCACUCAAACAGCUCCUCUUCCCGCGACCAAGAAGAAAACUGAAUGUCUUUCUUGGCAUGUUGGGCGAAGGAGAAGCUGAUUAACGAUAUUAAAUGGAAAGAUAAACAACAACAAUGAUUCAGUUCGAGUUCUAAAACCAUUUUCCCUUGUUAGAUGACAUUACAAGAAUUACAAGAAUUACAAGAACUUCGUGCAAGAAAAUGGUGGUUACUGGUUAGAGACCAGCUAUACAAACUCCCUUAGCUUCUAAACAUAGUGUGUGUCUGUUGUGAAACCAUUCUCCCUUCUCAGAUAACAGUAUAGCCUCGUAAAUAUGAGGAUUCCUCUUGAGCAUGCCUAGGUCCGCUUCACUCAAGUUGGACAUUGCCUUCUGGAAAGUGGAUUCAUCCAUGAACCAUAUCCAAGCUGCCACCAGCCCAACUACAAAGCUGUCUAGCUCAGUGGCAAUGCCAGACAGGUCGAUAGUGCUCCGCUUGUCCUUGAGUUUGCUGAAGUCCACCCUACUCAAAAACUUGUUCAUGAUAUCUGAAGUCCAAGUACUCAAGACUGUUCUAAUAGGACCAGCAACUGAUUCAUAUCCAGCGACAGCUUCAAGCUCGCCUCGAUCUAAUGACACCUGUUGCCUCUCAAUGAAAAUCCUGUGAAAGAUAUCUGCAGGAUCAAAAGCAUAGCUCCGGUAAACUCUCGGAUUCCUCCACCACUUUAAGAAUGUCCAGGCGGCUUCGGCUUUGAUCUCGUCAUCGCUUCCGUCAAUGAUGGAUCUGAUUAGAUACUCGGAUGCUUGCUUGGAAACUGCUUCACGAGGAAGGAAGCCCACUGGUGCUCCUCUGACAAUGCGGUCCAGCAAAUUGAUUACGUCAUCGUCCACAACCGCCAAAGGAAUUAUUCCAAAUUCUCGCACAGCUAAUACUAAGUUAUGUAACUGACCUGGUGUUAAUACAACCUUUGCUAGAAUCUUGUUUGCAGUAUGCCUUGGUCCUUCAUGAUAUGAUGGUCCGAGAACAAUGAGCUGAGUCAUGCAUUUAAUACUCCCAAAGGUUCUAGCUUCAUGAGGUAUGUUCCAGCAAAGGAGCUCCAGUACCUCCUCGUGAUCGCAGCUGCAUUCUUCUUCUUCACCAUCCAAAAAAUAAUUGAUGACAUAAGUGAAAAGAUUGACACGUAAUCCUUUUCUGAAUCCCUCUGUCAUAAACGCCUCAUGUACAUGUGGGCCAACAUGGUGUGCAAGUACAUGCGCUUCAGCCUUACCCGCAAUACUUCUCAGCCACAACCCGAAGGAGUCCCAACCCAGUAGUUUGACCGCCAAGAAAAUUGAUGACUCCACCAAAGUCAGAAUGUAGAACAGCCUCAUCCCAUACACGAAGUUGGCCACCUGCCCUGUACCCGACGACGGGAGGGGUUUGUAGGCUCCCGACUUGAGCCGAGAAAGGGAGAAACCAAAUGAUACAGCUGCACUACCCACUUGGAGCCCAUGGAAUAUCAGAUGUAUGGACAGGUUCUUUAUCAUCUUUGACCCCUGCAUCCUCCCACACCAAAUGCCAUAACCUACGAAAGCGCAGUAGUAUGGCGUGGUAAGUAUCCCUCCCCAGGUACUUCCCCGGAGCCGAGAGGCUAUUAAGUAAUCAAAAUUCUUGCUGACUAGGAACACUCGCACACCCUCUGAAAGCAACAGACCAGAAAUGAGCCUGAAAUCGUACGACUUGAGCUGAGGGACAUAACCCCCCAGCAGGACCACUGUGGCACCACGAACGCUAUUUGCGCUAAAUAUGUUGCACCUUGCUCCAAGGCUGCCAAUAGUAGAGCCACAUAUUUCACUUGCACUGACAGACUCACCAAUCUCUGUGCUCUCCUCUUAAGAUUUUGAUGUUUUUCUGUGUUCCGAUCUGAGCCCCCAACUUGUAUUGCUGUAUCAUUCUCCAUUGUAAUUUCGGCUGCUCUACAGCUAUGUACCAACGCAAUUACAAGCAGGGAUUUGGGAAGCUGUCGCAGUAUCGUAAGAAAUAUAGCACAUGAAAGCACGAUUCCGUUGAGUAUGAGGCAAUGCAAGCAAAGCACAAUGUAACAGCACAGUGGAGUUUUGAGGGGUAAAAACAACAAAAUGUUUCGUGGCAGCUUAUUUUACAAGGUUGCUGCUCAGCAAUAGAUCCUUCACUAGUUUGAAAUCUAGGCAAAGGAGAUUCAAGGCUCAAAAGACUAGUUUGAAAUGCAGGCAAAGGAGAUUCAAAACUCAGAUCAUCAACUAUGUGUAAUGAAAAGAUCAAUUAUGUUUACUAAUACCAUAUAGAUACCAACAUAGUCUUCGCAAAGACUGUUUGCUGUGUAGUUUCCAAGCCUUUAUGGCAUACCAUCUUCUCUGGUUGACUGCUAACGUUUCCAGAGGAGUUUGAAACCAUUGAGAAGCUCUUCGAGUUCUCAAAUAUUUGGAGCACUAAAGGUACGACAAUUGUGACAAUCUCGCUUGAGAAUGAUUUCGUAAAUCACACCGCUGUAAAUGCCAUCACCUGGGCUGGUUCUCGACUCUUCCACCUCGCGCAACUCCAGGUUGUGCUCAGAUGCCUCGUUAAAGAAUGCUCGAUCAGUGCUGAAAAAAAGAAACAAAAGAUUCAAGAAAACACAAAAAGAGAAGCGAAGUGACCUUUGUAUGCGAGAGAUGUAAGCAAGAAAAAACUUGCGGCAGUGGUGAUGUUGCAAAAGCUUGUUGACAGUCCUGAGUAGCGGAGGAAUGUUGCAUUGCUGGUAACGUGAUAGGAUCUGUUCAAGGAGAAACUUGGAGUAAAAAAGCUUCCAUCAAAAGGAUAUAAAUGUCGGCCCCAAGGAUGUAGUCAAAUCCCUCAGGAUGCUUGUCAAGGAUGAGAAAGAGCUGUUCUUCAUUUCCCCACUCAAGCUUUUCACAGGCAAUCCCUGCAAUAAGGAAAAAAACAAACAAACAAACAAACAAACGAGAUCUCUCAUAUAUCAGUGAGAAAGAACUCACGCGAUAGCAACGCCGUGUCCUGCUGAAGCGCCACGUUUUUCCGCAUGAUCUAGCAGCGAUCCCCAAACUUGUUUUAAGAAACCAUGCAUGGAAAUUCCUGCCUUUAAAACGAUGUCAUUGUGAUCAGUCAUGACGACUUUGCGGCAGCCAAUCCUUCCACACAAAAGGCCAGUCACUCCUACAAACCAUGAAAAAAAACAAGUGUUAGAAAAAAAAAAGGAGAGAGAAAGAAGAGAAAACCAUGCGAAGAACUUCAUACCAACACCAGAGCCCAGCUCAAUGAUCGAAGCUCCUUGAAAAAUUUGGCUAUGAUCCACAAUGUAAUUGAGGAGAAGCUCGGUGCCAGGCCAGAUUAUCUGGCCAGUGAGGUCGUAAUCCGCUGCGAGCUAUCGCAUUGAAAGAGAGGAACCGAGAGAGAAAGAACACACUCACUGGAAGAGCAUUGUAGGCUGAGCACAGGAAUGUCGUGAUGGCCGAUGGAAAUGCGCUGCUCAACGUAGCUAGCAGUGGAUGAUAGAAUCGAUUAAAUCCUAGUAGCUUACUUCUCGUCCAGGAACAGCGAUCCAAUACCUCCUCCAUCGUCGUCCUCGUCCAUCGCAUGAGCCCUAAGAGAAUAAGAAUCUUACUCACAAAGAUGCGCUAAAGCCCUAGGGGUUAGGGUUUAUGAAUGGCGGCAAGAUUUGGAUGCUCGCGCGGCUAUCGCGCAUUGCACAGGUACCCAGCCGCGCCAGAUCGAUCGCCAUGCAGCCGGUAGCUCAGGAAUCCACCGAGGAUGAGGCGGACGAUCUUGCCGCUUGCUCCAAUGCGGGCGUCUGGAGCUACAGGGAUUUCGCGCAGAUGCUCCACUCUUCCUCCUCCUCUUCCAGUCAUUCGAUCGAGGCGGCGCUGGGCAGGCUACGCCGGGAAAUCUCCACUGACGCCGUGGUGAAGAUCUUCCAGUGCCUCAAGGACGCCGAUCUCGCCUGGGAGCUCUUCCAGUGCCUCUCCUCCCCUCGAUUCGGCUUCCAGCACAGCGUCCACACGGGGAACGCGCUCCUGGAUGUGUUUGCCAGGACCAAGCGCCACAGGGAGGCCGGGAAUCUCCUCAAGAACGAGCUCGCGACGAUAUUUCGGCCGGAUGUGGAGACCUGGAACGUCCUCAUCACCGGCUACUGCCUGGCUCGCGAGCCCGAGGAGGCAUUCGCGGUGAUGAGGGAGAUGGAGGAGGAUUUCGGCGUGGCGCCGUCGCUCAAGACCCACAAUCUCGUCCUCCACGGCCUGUGCAAGUCGGGGAAGGUCCUCGCGGCGAUGGAUCACUUCGAGACGGUGAGGAGAUUCAUGCCGGUGAGCGCUGCGACGUUCUCGAUCCUCAUCAAUGGCCUCGUCAAAGCAGGUAUGCUGAUCCAGGCUCACUCCCUCGCCCAGGAGACCACAACCAAUGGCUGCACGAUCGACAUCCACACCUAUACCACCAUUGUAGACUGGCUCGCCAAGAACAAGAAGAUCCAAGAGGCCGUGGCUCUGAUGGAGAAGAUCACUGCCAAUGGGUGUACUCCCACCAUCGCCACCUACAACGCUCUCCUCAAUGGUCUUUGCAAGAUGGGACGCCUCGAAGAAGCCAUUGAUCUCCUUCGCAAGAUCGUCGACAAUGGCUGCACGCCGGACGUGGUCACUUACACCUCGCUCAUUGAUGGCCUCGGCAAGAAGAAGCGAUCCUUCGAAGCUUACAAGCUUUUCAAGGAGAUGGCUUCGCGGGGACUGGCUCUCGACACCGUCUGCUACACUGCUCUCAUCCGGGGACUCCUCCAGGCCGGGAAAAUCCCGCAAGCUUCCUCGGUCUACAAGACAAUGACGUCCCAAGGCUGCGUUCCAGACGUGGUAACACUCAGCACCAUGAUCGACGGCCUCUGCAAGGCCGGGAGGAUUGGAGCGGCAGUCCGGAUCUUCAAGUCGAUGGAAGCUCGAGGCCUGGCUCCAAACGAGGUGGUGUACAGCGCUCUCAUCCACGGCCUGUGCAAGGCCAGGAAGAUGGACUGUGCGCUGGAGAUGCUGGCCCAGAUGAAGAAGGCGUUUUGCACCCCGGACACCAUCACUUACAACAUCCUCAUCGACGGGCUUUGCAAGAGUGGCGACGUUGCGGCAGCACGGGCCUUCUUCGACGAGAUGCUCGAGGCCGGAUGCAAGCCCGACGUUUACACGUACAACAUUCUCAUAUCGGGGUUCUGCAAGGCCGGGAACACCGACGCUGCCUGUGGAGUCUUCGACGACAUGAGCUCUAGCCGCUGCUCGCCAAACGUUGUCACCUACGGGACUCUCAUCUCCGGCCUCUGCAAGCGCCGCCAGCUGACCAAGGCCUCGCUAUACUACCAGCACAUGAAGGAGAGAGGCUGCCCUCCGGACAGCUUCGUCUACAGCAGCUUG